rnacentral:rRNA from 1 species
UUUGUUGCGUGCGGGGGUGCAGGAGAGCGGGGCGGGCGUGCUGGAGCUGGAGAGCGGGGACGAGGAGGAGGGGGCGGCAAGCGGGAGAGGGCAAGGAGCGGCGAGGAGGACUCGGAGGGCGGCGAGGAGGUAAGGAGGUCUCGGUGGGCGGUGCGGGAAGCAGCGCCCUCGGCGGCAGCUCGGGCAGGCAGCGCGGGCUCGGCGGGAAGCGGCGCCCUAGGGGAAACGGCGCCGAGCGUCCAACGGCUCGGCGGCGGGGCCUCGGCGGGAAGCGACACCAGGCAUCCAGCGGCUCGGCAGCGGGGGCGGGAAGCUGCGCCGGGCGUCCAAGGGGUCGGCGGUUGCGUGCGGGGGUGCAGGAGGGCGGCGGGGCCUCGGCGUUACGCUGCCCGGGUUGGGCCUCUAGGUGUUGUGACCGCCCAACUCGGCCGCCCCGAAGGGUCGCCCCAAGCACAAGCCCUGCCGGCGCAGCCGCAUGGUCCACCUCCCGUACCGCUCCGUCCCGCCCGCGCCCGGGUCGUAGACCCUGCGGAAGCGUCGGUAUGGCCCCUGCUAGCGGCCGUUACCGUGGCGGCUGCACUGUCAGCUGCUCAUGGUAUCCAUGUUCCUCCUACACUCGUAUUACUUCCUUUACCCGAAGCUACGCAUGGCCAAGAGCUAGAGGACCAGCUCCUAAAAGGGUCUACCCUGACCCUUCCACCUGAUCCUUCCUCACCUGAUGAUGUCGUCCGAGUAUCUAAUGUACGAGGUCGUUCUAGUUCAAUAAUAACUCCUGUUUUACUUCCCCACGUAACGUUAGAUCUAAACUGAUUUACACACCGUCUAAACAAUUGUUUGUGUAAAUGUAAAUUCAUACACAUCAUACGAAGUCCAUUAAUUGGUGUUGUAAAUAAAGCAGUUAAUAAAGGAAAAGUAAGUCACUUACAGGAAAACAAUUUUUCGCGCUCAGCUUACACAUUCAUGCCUUUUCCAAGAGGGUAACCCAACGGUGAUGUUGCUUUAUUGGUACAUUUACUGACAAUUUGUAUUAGAUAAAAACAUUAAGUUUCCGUUACAAAGACGGCCAGAGAACUUUCUUGAUUUUCUUUACGUCGGAAAUAUUGACUUACGGAUGUAAGUAAAAACCUCUAGUGUCUCGAUAUAUAAUUGCUCAAUAAUACAACUACGUGUGACGUAAGUUAAAUUACUCGAACAAUAAAAAGACUAGCCUAAGUCACCAUUACCUUAACCCACCACUUCUUUUGAUCGUUCGACGUAUCCUCUUUAAGUAUGCACGUGGGCGUACUUAUUAUUAAAAAGCUUACAGUUUAUCAAGAUCUUUUUGAUAUGUAUAUUUAUAGACUUAGUAGACACAGGAACAUUUUAAUCACCUUUUACUAAACCCUCCUACUCCAACGAAAUCAGAACUGGUGCUGCACGAGAGACCAUCGCGACAGCGCCGGUCAGCCGGUGAGCGAGAGGUUUAGGACGUCAACACGUACCCAGGCUACCUGUCCGUACCGCCGAGUCUGGACGCCCGAGGUACUAGUGGUACCGCGACGAAGGACCGGAACGGCGACCGUCAGUGGCUUGGGAGUGGCCUAACAGCUGGGGUGUUGAUUGGUAGUGGGAGUAGAGUAAUCAACCGAAGGGAGAUGACCUAGAUUUAAAAAAACCAACCAAACGUUUCACGUCUACACACUGGAGGAGAUACUACUUCCGUAGCUCCUCUAAUUGAAAACGAAGAGUUCGAAACUAAAUCAACUCUACAAAUUCGUUAUAACCAGUGAAGGUUCAUUUAAAAUACUACUACACUAUAUACAGAUGAUUAAAGGUAAAAAAGGGGAACACAAGUCCAUAGAUAUGAUUUCCAACGUCAUGUUGUGAUCGACCAAUGUUAAAACAUCUAAAGGAAAAUGGGAAUCAAACACGAGGGAGGCUAGGUAUUAUUCACAGCGUCAAAACUUGAUUCCAACCUAGCCUCCUUCAUCAUUUACGGUUAAUCAUAUCAGGGAAUUCCGGAUUUUUCAUCGUAUCCUAUACCCUCGUUUUCCAAGUUGCUUUUGAAAAUUUUGGACUCUACCUUCACAUAAAACAUCCGAACAUCACGUACAAGUGGACAUGCUCGAUCUUGAAGGAAACACAACCGCCUUCACAAUCGGACGGUAAUAGUCAACUCAUAUCCCGAACUGGUCGUAAAACCAGAAAGUAAAUGAAGAAUGGUUGAGUUCAUUUUACAAACUUUAGAAUAUAGCUGGUGUAGUGAUUUUAAACCGACCUGAUACGAACGUACAAAUUCAGCUUUCUCCCUAGCUGGAAGUUACAACGGAGCAGUCCAACAAAUCAAGGUUGCUCCAGAUUUAGGUAAGGGGGUAGAACACAGCUAACGGAAGAAUCAUGAUUACAAAGGGGAAUCUCUGUAACAGAUAAACCACAGGAAAAAACAUGUUUUAAUGAAAUACUACAAGUAGGACGAUUCGACGUCCCCAUUAUCACGAAGGUCAUAAACAUUAAAACUUAGUACCAGUUAACUAGUCAGUACCUAAUCACCGAAUCAUACACUGUCUCCGAGAAACGAGGUUAGUUAAUCACCCUCUAGUUUAUCGAAUUCGGACAGCAUGUGUUACGUUACAUUGAUCUUAUCAGAAAUAGAAAAUUAGUCAAAGGGUCAAUAUAAAGAAGGUCUUAAAUCAAAAAAAAAUGAAACACUAAAUAACCGUAAAACAAUCUACUAUGUACGAAGAUUGAUGUAAUGUCUAGUCCAGGUUUUAGUCCUAUGUACUGUCGACGUUUCGUUUAUAUAGUUUCAACGAGCCCACCUAGAUAACACCAAGUUCGAGGAGUCCACCUAGAUUAGUUCUUUUGAAUAACUGGCAGAAGGUAAAGUUGACGUCGUUACACCCCACCGCGUACACCUCAUCCUCCCAUCUUCUCUUCUACCUCUUCCACCAAUAAAACCGGAAUGCAACUCACAACUUAGACACCAUAUACUUUUAUGAACUCAACUUAUUCUAGGCCAUGACCUAUAUUUACUAACUCCUCUGCGUACUGAAUUUAUUUUUCUCAACACUCUUA